rnacentral:rRNA from 1 species
AUGCUGGGCGGUGCGGCGUGGUGGCACGGACAGCAAGGUGGCGAAGGUGAGCAGCUGUGUCUUCGAAGCUUCUUGCUGGACCUGGUGGGAACGCUCGCCGUGACUAGCAUGGGGAUGGGCGAUCUUGUGUUGCUGGAAUCAAGCGCUGGCAUCUGCGGAGACGACCAGGUUGGGGAUGCUUCAGGCGAAAGCCUUGUGCCGACCUUGUUGGCAACAAUGACGGCGACGCCUUUGGGCGCCAUUUCCCUUCUUGAAGGGUCAUUGGGGAGCUGCUGCCACCUGCUUAUUCGUGUGCUCCUGGCGAAAGCUUUAGAACCUUUUUUGGUUCGGACAACGAUGGCAUCUUGA